CCUAUCUUGGCCUCCCCAAGUGCUGGGAUGACAGGCGUGAGCCACCGUGCCCGGCUGGCUUCUCUAUUAAGGCGGACAGGGUCACCUCCUGGUUAUCCCCUGACUCAGAUUCCCAUAGGUGGCUCUGCCUCAGAAGCCCCAGGGCACUGUGGUCACUGUUAGGUGUGGCAGUGACUGUUCUGGAUUCUCCCCUUCAGUUCUUACUUGGGCUAUAGUUGAGCAACUUACCUGGUUGCUGUUUACCCUGCAAAGCAAUGCCAAGUUCAUGGGAAACUAUACAUACAUGUAAACUGAAUCUUUGAAAUGGCUAUGAGUGGGUAUUGCCAGGGUGAUCUCCAGCUAACUCUGCCAAGCUCGAAUCACACACUUAGGCUAUCCCGGUGCAGGAUUUCAUCUACUCUUCACUAGAUAAAGUACACAGAGGACUUUUAAUUUUAAAAUGUUCUUUUUUGGUCAGUAGUCUUAGUAAGAGAUUUAUAUGAAAAGAGGUAGGAGUAUAUAAAUAGGGUGUUAAAUAUAUCAUGUCACCAAAAAAUUUACCCGAGAAAUAGAAGUUUAAAAGCAAUUUAAAAAAACCUUCAAUCAACAAUAUAUAAAUAAUCUGAGGUAAGAGGGAAGAAUGCCCUGCAAACACUUUAGAAAAAUACAUCUCUGCCACACUACAGAAAUAUAUCUUUUACCACGUCUUCCGAAUCCCCAGUUAGCCUCCAUCUACCAAAGAUUUUGGGCACCAGAACUAAAGAUGAGAAUCUUUCCCACCCCUGCCACUUGCAGGUAAACACAGAGUUCAUGUUCAGCCAGGCUAAAGUACAAGAAAACUGAACCCACUCUCCAUCCCAUCCCAUCCCAUCCUAGGAUAGGUGGGGCUGGAGCAGAAAUCAUGGAAUGCUCAGGACUCCACCCCUCCCAAGUGCACUGAGCAACCAGCAUUUGGCUGCCACUCCAACCAGUCCUCAAAAGAACUCAGCCCCCAACCCUGACCCCAAAUCUGUCCAACCUGGUUCUAUAGUGUCUUCCAUCUGACCGAGCUCUAGAGUGACAGCUUCAUAUCAGAGCAUCAUCGCUCAACACCCCUGACUCAGGCCAAGACCCAAAUGUCUUCUCCUGGGAGGGAAAGGGAGAAAUAAAGCAAAAAUCAAUAAUAAAGUAUUUUGCAAAAACUCAA